CAGAGUUUUCAUAGUGUGGUUGGGCUGCAUCCAUUAAGGCUGGUACUCAGGUAGGGGUGGGGCUCACCAGCCUGGUUAUUGCUGAGGAUGCUUGCAGCCCUGGUGGAAGCACCCUGGCCAGUAUUUGAAAUGUAAAUUCAAUAUCUAAAAUGGAAAUACCGGGUGCCAGGCAUCCUGGAAUUUGCCUUUUCAAGGCCACCUGUCCUAUCAUCCCCUCCAUCCCUCCAGGCUGCCAUGAUCCUCCCUCUGAACCCCAUGGUCAGUGUCGCUGCAGAGAUCCUCCCUUUGGACCCUGCCUGCCUGAAGGGCCCAUACCUUGAUCAGACGUCUUAGAACGACUGCCCUUAGCCAUGUCAUAAAAAGGAGAAAACAUCAUAUUUGACAACCCCAAUUCCUGCAUUAUACAGACAGGAAACUCAGGUGCACUUCACCACACGCUUCUCAGUUGCGUGGAUGCACAUCUCCACUUCUUUGCAGGGAGGACGAACAACAGCAGAAUACCCGUGGCCUGACUUUCUGGAGCAUCAGUAUUACUACAAGAUUUGGAAAAACCAAAGUUAGGUCAUUUCCAAGGGGUAUGGAGCUCCCAGACUUAUUAACUACACAGAGAGAGGAAGAGUCAGAACACAUUCAAUAAACUCUAGUGUGCUCAGGUGAGAUGGUAAGUGCCUGAACUCACAUCUGAAGAAGAACUUAGAGGAUGCUUUCUGACUCUGCUUCAUGCCUGACUAAGCAGUCCUGGACAUCCCCGUUAUGGCCACAGAAUAACACAGGCAGCCUUGAUGGACCAGAAGUCCUCCUAUGUCCAUCAUUUGUACAGAACAAACUGGCUUAAGACCUCUCAUUUCCUGCUGCAGUGGUAAUUUACAGAGAUACAGAACUGCCAUCUAGUGACUCAGAAGAAAACAGCAAGGUGCUUUACAUGGAAAAUGAAAUUGUAAGUUUUUAAAAAAAGAACAGUGAAGCACUAAAGUUGGUAAAGUUGACACAAAGUUGACAGAAUGUGGCACACGAAUGUUAUAGUAAAACUGGAAAAUGUGUAGGUGAAGUAACCAGUUGUUCUCUAUGCCUCUAAAAUAUGACUUGACAUU